GAUGAACGCUGGCGGCGUGCCUAACACAUUCAAGUCGAACGGUGACGAGGACUUCGGUCCUCUGAUCAGUGGCGGACGGGUGAGUAACGCGUGAGGAACCUGCCCCUAUGUGAGGGAUAACAACCGGAAACAGUUGCUAAUACCUCAUAACGCAUCGAUACCGCAUGGUAAUGAUGCCAAAGAUUUAUUGCAUAGGGAUGGCCUCGCGUUGGAUUAGAUAGUUGGUAAGGUAACGGCUUACCAAGUCUGCGAUCCAUAGCCGGACUGAGAGGUUGAACGGCCACAUUGGAACUGAGAUACGGUCCAGACUCCUACGGGAGGCAGCAGUGGGGAAUAUUGGGCAAUGGGCGAAAGCCUGACCCAGCGACGCCGCGUGAGGGAAGAAGGUCUUCGGAUUGUAAACCUUUGUUGACAGGGACGAUAAUGACGGUACCUGUCGAGGAAGCCACGGCUAACUACGUGCCAGCAGCCGCAGUAAAAC
rnacentral:rRNA from 1 species